UACGUAGGGGGCAAGCGUUGUCCGGAAUUAUUGGGCGUAAAGAGCUCGUAGGCGGUCUGUCGCGUCUGCUGUGAAAACUCAGGGCUUAACCCUGAGCUUGCAGUGGGUACGGGCAGACUAGAGUGCGGUAGGGGAGACUGGAAUUCCUGGUGUAGCGGUGAAAUGCGCAGAUAUCAGGAGGAACACCGGUGGCGAAGGCGGGUCUUUGGGCCGUAACUGACGCUGAGGAGCGAAAGCAUGGGGAGCGAACAGG
rnacentral:rRNA from 1 species